rnacentral:rRNA from 1 species
AUUGAACGCUGGCGGCAUGCCUUACACAUGCAAGUCGAACGGUAACAGGUCUUCGGAUGCUGACGAGUGGCGAACGGGUGAGUAAUACAUCGGAACGUGCCUAGUAGUGGGGGAUAACUACUCGAAAGAGUGGCUAAUACCGCAUGAGAUCUACGGAUGAAAGCAGGGGAUCGCAAGACCUUGUGCUACUAGAGCGGCCGAUGGCAGAUUAGGUAGUUGGUGGGAUAAAAGCUUACCAAGCCGGCGAUCUGUAGCUGGUCUUAGAGGACGAUCAGCCACACUGGGACUGAGACACGGCCCAGACUCCUACGGGAGGCAGCAGUGGGGAAUUUUGGACAAUGGGCGCAAGCCUGAUCCAGCAAUGCCGCGUGCAGGAUGAAGGCCUUCGGGUUGUAAACUGCUUUUGUACGGAACGAAAAGCCCCGGGUUAAUACCCUGGGGUCAUGACGGUACCGUAAGAAUAAGCACCGGCUAACUACGUGCCAGCAGCCGCGGUAA